AUUGAACGCUAGCGGGAUGCCUUACACAUGCAAGUCGAACGGCAGCGCGGACUUCGGUCUGGCGGCGAGUGGCGAACGGGUGAGUAAUAUAUCGGAACGUGCCUAGUAGCGGGGGAUAACUACUCGAAAGAGUAGCUAAUACCGCUUACGCCCUACGGGGGAAAGGGGGGGAUCGCAAGACCUCUCACUAUUAGAGCGGCCGAUAUCGGAUUAGCUAGUUGGUGGGGUAAAGGCCCACCAAGGCGACGAUCCGUAGCUGGUUUGAGAGGACGACCAGCCACACUGGGACUGAGACACGGCCCAGACUCCUACGGGAGGCAGCAGUGGGGAAUUUUGGACAAUGGGGGAAACCCUGAUCCAGCCAUUCCGCGUGUGCGAUGAAGGCCUUCGGGUUGUAAAGCACUUUUGGCAGGAAAGAAAUCGCACAAAUUAAUACUUUGUGUGGAUGACGGUACCUGCAGAAUAAGCACCGGCUAACUACGUGCC
rnacentral:rRNA from 1 species